AAUAAGUAUAAUCCUAAUUUUUCAUGUCCAACUUUAAUCGUUCAUCUUAUUUAAAAUAUAUUUAUAAUUAUUUUUUUGCAAUUAGAUUGUAAAAUAUGAAUAAUACUUUAUAUAUAACUUAUGUUUUUAUUUUUUUUAAAAACAAUUAAAUAAAAUGGAUUAUUAAAAUUAGAUACAAAAAAUUUAUGUCUACGGUUAUC
rnacentral:pre_miRNA from 1 species